rnacentral:rRNA from 1 species
GCUUAACUGUAGAAUUGCCAUUGAUACUGUUGUUCUUGAGUAUGGUCAAGGUAGGCGGAAUGUGUAAUGUAGCGGUGAAAUGCUUAGAUAUUACACAGAACACCGAUUGCGAAGGCAGCUUGCUGGGCCAUUACUGACGCUCAUGCACGAAAGCGUGGGGAUCGAACAGGAUUAGAUACCCUGGUAGUCCACGCCGUAAACGAUGAUCACUCGCUGUUGGCGAUACACAGUCAGCGGCUAAGCAAAAGCAUUAAGUGAUCCACCUGGGGAGUACGACCGCAAGGUUGAAACUCAAAGGAAUUGACGGGGGCCCGCACAAGCGGAGGAACAUGUGGUUUAAUUCGAUGAUACGCGAGGAACCUUACCUGGGCUUAAAUGUAGAGUGCAUUGGUGUGAAAACAUCAUUUUCUUCGGAACUCUCUGCAAGGUGCUGCAUGGUUGUCGUCAGCUCGUGCCGUGAGGUGUCGGAUUAAGUUCCAUAACGAGCGCAACCCUUAUCGUUAGUUGCCAGCGGGUAAUGCCGGGAACUCUAACGAAACUGCCGGUGUAAACCGUGAGGAAGGUGGGGAUGACGUCAAAUCAGCACGGCCCUUAUGUCCAGGGCUACACACGUGUUACAAUGGCCGGUACAGAGGGCAGCUACCUGUUGACAGGAUGCGAAUCUCGAAAGCCGGUCUCAGUUCGGAUCG